GAGUUUGAUCGUGGCUCAGAUGAACGCUGGCGGCAUGCCUUACACAUGCAAGUCGAACGGCAGCAUGAUCUAGCUUGCUAGAUUGAUGGCGAGUGGCGAACGGGUGAGUAAUACAUCGGAACGUGCCCUGUAGUGGGGGAUAACUAGUCGAAAGAUUAGCUAAUACCGCAUACGACCUGAGGGUGAAAGUGGGGGACCGCAAGGCCUCAUGCUAUAGGAGCGGCCGAUGUCUGAUUAGCUAGUUGGUGGGUAAAGGCCCACCAAGGCGACGAUCAGUAGCUGGUCUGAGAGGACGAUCAGCCACACUGGGACUGAGACACGGCCCAGACUCCUACGGGAGGCAGCAGUGGGGAAUUUUGGACAAUGGGCGAAAGCCUGAUCCAGCAAUGCCGCGUGUGUGAAGAAGGCCU
rnacentral:rRNA from 1 species